UUUGGAAAAGCAUAAACUUAAGGCAUCACCUUUACAGAAAAUAUCUUCCAUGGAAACAUCUAAAGGCCACAGAUCAGCCCUGGGGUUCAGAGGGAUCCUGACGGCUACUCCUCAAGAUCCUCUCUGUUGUGAUUCAUCCCCCCCAGGCCCUACAGUUUCUCCUUCCUGACUCUUACAUUUCUUUGGAUGGCAUCACUAUUUACCUGUCUCCUCCCAUAGUUAGUUGCCAAGCACUGUGGAUUCUACCCCUCAGGGUCCAGACACCCAUUUUCCUUCCCACUGUUCCCUCCCCAUGGAGAAGCCUGUGGCUGACUGACAGCUCAACUUGGAGAAGGUGUUACCUGGGCCAGGUGGGGAAGGUAGGGUUGUUUGCAGAGCAAAGAAGUGAAGGAAGUAUUAACCCUUUGCAUGGCCUCCUGAGAAUCUGACAAGACGUAAAUAGCCAAGAAUAUCUGUGGAACUUAAUCAGUGAGUUACAAUAUUUAUCACUGCAAGUGUGUUGUUCAUUGACACUAUAAAGCCAUAUGGAAUUAAGCAGCCUUGAAACACAAAAUGGAGAAAGGCUAAGAGCUGAGAAUUGUUGCCUUCAGGGAAAUAUAAUCAAUGUCAAGCAAACAACCACCCCAAAAUGGUUAGCUUUAUCAGCAUUCAGGCCUACAGUGAAAGCAAAUGUUCCAGAUCUGAGUUUCAAUUUUUAAAGAAUAAACAUAUGCAAAUGA
rnacentral:antisense_RNA from 1 species